rnacentral:lncRNA from 1 species
GGUGCUCUCGUUCAGAUAGAUUUAGCUGGUGGUGCAGAGAUCCGUGAGCUUGCUUUUACAGGACUUUAAUGAUAUAUAAAAGCAGCACGAGGUGCUCCUGACUGUGGAUUAAUUUGGAGAUGACUUUCUCUGUUGAAGAGUAGCAAGACUCUCGCGAGUUCUUAAAAAUGCACUUGUUUGGUAUGAGAAUGAAAAGCAGUGGCUGAAGAACCAAUCUUCAAUGGGCAAGCCUUCUCUGACAUCAAUAUCUGGCUUUGAGUGGCACAAAGAAAUAAAGGAAUGUGGAUUCAGACCUCACUGGGAUGCUUGGCAAUUCUAAUUCUACCCCAGACUGCAAAUGGACACACAACUGUUGUGACUUUUGUUGAAGAGGAGAAGGAUGGUGAAGGUCUCUUUAGUCAAUAAUCUCUUUGCUGAAAUUGCUUCGGGCAGCACAGAAGCUGGAUUCAGAAGCACACAGGUCUGGGGAUGCAGGCUUCGGCCAGCCUGAUGCAAGGAAAGACUGCCAUCUCGUGGUCAGCUCAAUCCUGGCACCUUGGUGAGGGACCAGGCUGCAGAAAACCAGGCUUGGGGAGGAAACGGUGCUGCAAACUGGAUUUCUGCCGGACAGUGUGGAUGCCCUUAGAAAACACCCAGAAAAGAGCUGAGUGCCCCCCAAGGCUGUUUCCCAUAUAAGGUUCAUGACCCCCAGUGAGGAUGAAACUGCCUGCAAGGUUUGUCUUCUCUCCUGUUCACUGGUUACUCAGCCAGGCUGAUUCAUGGGCUUCUCAAAGGAGCUUGUUUAUCAGAAGCUUGUCUAAGACACCACGUCUUCCAGAAAAUCUCACCUGAGUCACCAACAGAUUCCUCUAAGAGUCUGUAAGCCACUCCUGACCAGCAGGAAACCCCAACAGAGGCAAAGAAUAGGAAAUUAAAUAUUUCGUCAAGAAAAAAUGAGAGGCUGGGUGCGGUGGCUCAUGCCUAUAUCCCAGCACUUUAGGAGGCCUAAGCGGGCGGAUCAUUUGAGGUCAGGAGUUUGAGACCAGCCCGGCCAACAUGGUGAAACCCUGUCUC